rnacentral:rRNA from 1 species
UCAUCUUCGGGGGUAGAGCACUGUUUCGGCUAGGGGGUCAUCCCGACUUACCAACCCGAUGCAAACUACGAAUACCGAAGAAUGUUAUCACGGGAGACACACGGCGGGUGCUAACGUCCGUCGUGAAGAGGGAAACAACCCAGACCGCCAGCUAAGGUCCCAAAGUCAUGGUUAAGUGGGAAACGAUGUGGGAAGGCACAGACAGCCAGGAUGUUGGCUUAGAAGCAGCCAUCAUUUAAAGAAAGCGUAAUAGCUCACUGGUCGAGUCGGCCUGCGCGGAAGAUGUAACGGGGCUAAACCAUGCACCGAAGCUGCGGCAGCGACACUAUGUGUUGUUGGGUAGGGGAGCGUUCUGUAAGCCUGCGAAGGUGUGCUGUGAGGCAUGCUGGAGGUAUCAGAAGUGCGAAUGCUGACAUAAGUAACGAUAAAGCGGGUGAAAAGCCCGCUCGCCGGAAGACCAAGGGUUCCUGUCCAACGUUAAUCGGGGCAGGGUGAGUCGACCCCUAAGGCGAGGCCGAAAGGCGUAGUCGAUGGGAAACAGGUUAAUAUUCCUGUACUUGGUGUUACUGCGAAGGGGGGACGGAGAAGGCUAUGUUAGCCGGGCGACGGUUGUCCCGGUUUAAGCAUGUAGGCUGGUUGUCCAGGCAAAUCCGGAUAAUCAAGGCUGAGGUGUGAUGACGAGGCACUACGGUGCUGAAGUAACAAAUGCCCUGCUUCCAGGAAAAGCCUCUAAGCAUCAGGUAACAUCAAAUCGUACCCCAAACCGACACAGGUGGUCAGGUAGAGAAUACCAAGGCGCUUGAGAGAACUCGGGUGAAGGAACUAGGCAAAAUGGUGCCGUAACUUCGGGAGAAGGCACGCUGGUGUGUAGGUGAAGUCCCUGCGGAUGGAGCUGAGACCAGUCGAAGAUACCAGCUGGCUGCAACUGUUUAUUAAAAACACAGCACUGUGCAAACACGAAAGUGGACGUAUACGGUGUGACGCCUGCCCGGUGCCGGAAGGUUAAUUGAUGGGGUUAUCCGUAAGGAGAAGCUCUUGAUCGAAGCCCCGGUAAACGGCGGCCGUAACUAUAACGGUCCUAAGGUAGCGAAAUUCCUUGUCGGGUAAGUUCCGACCUGCACGAAUGGCGUAAUGAUGGCCAGGCUGUCUCCACCCGAGACUCAGUGAAAUUGAACUCGCUGUGAAGAUGCAGUGUACCCGCGGCAAGACGGAAAGACCCCGUGAACCUUUACUAUAGCUUGACACUGAACAUUGAGCCUUGAUGUGUAGGAUAGGUGGGAGGCUUUGAAGCGUGGACGCCAGUCUGCGUGGAGCCAACCUUGAAAUACCACCCUUUAAUGUUUGAUGUUCUAACGUUGGCCCCUGACCGGGGUUGCGGACAGUGUCUGGUGGGUAGUUUGACUGGGGCGGUCUCCUCCCAAAGCGUAACGGAGGAGCACGAAGGUUAGCUAAUCCUGGUCGGACAUCAGGAGGUUAGUGCAAUGGCAUAAGCUAGCUUGACUGCGAGCGUGACGGCGCGAGCAGGUGCGAAAGCAGGUCAUAGUGAUCCGGUGGUUCUGAAUGGAAGGGCCAUCGCUCAACGGAUAAAAGGUACUCCGGGGAUAACAGGCUGAUACCGCCCAAGAGUUCAUAUCGACGGCGGUGUUUGGCACCUCGAUGUCGGCUCAUCACAUCCUGGGGCUGAAGUAGGUCCCAAGGGUAUGGCUGUUCGCCAUUUAAAGUGGUACGCGAGCUGGGUUUAGAACGUCGUGAGACAGUUCGGUCCCUAUCUGCCGUGGGCGCUGGAGAAUUGAGGGGGGCUGCUCCUAGUACGAGAGGACCGGAGUGGACGCAUCACUGGUGUUCGGGUUGUCAUGCCAAUGGCACUGCCCGGUAGCUAAAUGCGGAAGAGAUAAGUGCUGAAAGCAUCUAAGCACGAAACUUGCCCCGAGAUGAGUUCUCCCUGAGACUUUAAGUCUCCUGAAGGAACGUUAAAGACGAUGACGUUGAUAGGCCGGGUGUGUAAGCG